rnacentral:miRNA from 1 species
CUCCAGAUGUUGCUGAACUACAACUCCCAUGAUUUUCAGCCUACGUUUAAUUCAUAGAAUCAUGGGAGUUGUAGUUCAGCAACAUCUGGAG